rnacentral:tRNA from 1 species
GCCGGGAUGGCAGAGUCUGGUUGAUUGCGCCGGCCUUGAGAGCCGGUGGGGCCUGACAGCCCUUCCUGGGUUCAAAUCCCAGUCCCGGCG